UCUAGCAGCCACAUCACCCUGCAACUCACAACUGGCAACCCACUGAAGCUAAGCAGGUGUGAGCCUGGUCAGUACCUGGAUGGGAGACCUCCUGGGAAAAACAAAGGAUGCUGCUGGAA
rnacentral:rRNA from 1 species